rnacentral:rRNA from 1 species
CCUACGGGCGGCUGCAGUGAGGAAUAUUGGUCAAUGGGCGGAAGCCUGAACCAGCCAAGUAGCGUGCGGGAUGAAGGCCCUACGGGUCGUAAACCGCUUUUGCCCGGGGAUAACACCCUCCACUUGUGGCGCUCCGCAGGUUCCGUGCGAAUAAGGGCCGGCUAAUCCCGUGCAAGCAGCCGCGGUAAUACGGAAGGCCCGAGCGUUAUCCGGAUUCAUUGGGCUUAAAGGGGGCGUAGGCGGGCGGUUAAGUCAGCUGUAAAAUCGCGCGGCUCAACCGCGGCCCGCCGUUGAAACUGGAGGCCUUGAGUGGAAAACAGGCAGGCGGAAUGCGUGGUGUAGCGGUGAAAUGCAUAGAUAUCACGCGGAACCCCGAUUGCGAAGGCAGCAUGCCGGGGUGCGACUGACGCUGAGGCUCGAAGGUGCGGGUAUCAAACAGGAUUAGAUACCCUAGUAGUC